rnacentral:rRNA from 1 species
GACAGAGGUGCCAAGCGUUAGGCGGAAUCACUGGGCUUAAAGCGUGUGUAGGUGGAUUUGUAAGUACCUUGUGAAAUCCCGAGGCUCAACCUCGGGUCUGCAGUCGAUACGGGCAAACUAAAGUAUUGCAGGGGAGACUGGAAUUCCUGGUGUAGCGGUGAAAUGCGCAGAUAUCAGGAGGAACACCGGUGGCGAAGGCGGGUCUCUGGGCAAUAACUGACGCUGAGGAGCGAAAGCGUGGGGAGCGAACAGG